GGCAUCUCGGGGGUGACAGCGGUUCGAUCCCUUUUCAUUCCGUCUUACAACAACUAAACUGCGAGCGGACCGAAACGCGGCUCCACCGCUCCCGGUUCGAUCUCAAACCGUUCGGGGAAAGCUUUGCCGGGCGGCAAAGGGGUGAAAUUCGGAGCAAACAGUGGAGAGCUGUGAGUCGGGAAAACAAAUCCGUAACUUUUUACCGUCUGCCGGGUGCGGGGCACGGAGCGGCCUCGGGCGGCGCGUUGGGUGCACCUCUGUGCUCCUCAUCCAAUGCCUUAGAGAGAUUUAAGGUGAAUGUGGACGGGGUAACGCGGCUGUGCCCUACGGGGGUGGUGGUGGUGAUUCGGGAAUCGGGCUGUGCUGCGCACUGCAGUCCUUUGCUCCGGGAUCUGAUCCGUACUGCACCAGUCUUCAGCAUCAGCCCCACAGUGCAUCUUUGCUGCCUUUUUGCCAUCUCACACGUUCCUGUCUAAAGCACAUCGAUGUACCUAGGCUGGGGGGCUUGCAAUGUUACCAAAAGGGACGUUGCAGGAGGAAAGUUUAAAACCAUGGGGCCCAAUCCUGAACUCAAUCAGAGCUGCUGCUUCGGUGGGAGCAGCCCUUGUGCUGCAUGCACAGGAGCUCCGAAGUUAAAAG
ensembl:lncRNA